rnacentral:rRNA from 1 species
GCUGCCGAUGCACAGACGGUAGAGAUUCCGUCACCACCAAAAGAGUUAAACACAGGGACACAUUUGAAGUCUCGGAGCCGGGUGUUGGUUCCGGUAGCGAUCGAGGGAAGUUAGUACCGAAGUCCGGGAUGGAAGAUGGCGAGAAAAGCUGUGUGUAUUUCUGCGGUGCCCGUACCGCAAACCGACACAGGUAGGUAGGAAGAAGAUUCUAAGGCCAACGGGAGAAGGGUUGUUAAGGAACUCGGCAAAUUGACCCCGUAACUUCGGGAGAAGGGGUGCUCCAGAGAUGGAGCCGCAGAGAAUCGGCCCAAGCAACUGUUUACCAAAAACACAGGUUUGUGCUAAAUCGAAAGAUGACGUAUACGAGCUGACGCCUGCCCGGUGCUGGAAGGUUAAGAGGAGAUGUGCAAGCAUUGAAUCGAAGCCCCAGUGAACGGCGGCCGUAACUAUAACGGUCCUAAGGUAGCGAAAUUCCUUGUCAGGUAAGUUCUGACCCGCAUGAAAGGCGUAAUGAUUUGGGCACUGUCUCGACAGCCCGCCCGGCGAAAUUGUAGUACCGGUGAAGAUGCCGGUUACCCGCGACAAGACGGAAAGACCCCAUGGAGCUUUACUGUAGCCUAAUAUUGGGUUUCGAUGUUGCAUGCACAGGAUAGAUGGGACACAGGGAAACAAGUGCUUUGGCAUUUGUGGAGUGGCCGUUGGGAUACCAUCCUUGCGAUAUUGGAAUUCUAACCUGCGCCUUUUAAAUCAAGGCGGGGGACAUUGUUAGGUGGGCAGUUUGACUGGGGCGGUCGCCUCCUAAAGAGUAACGGAGGCGUUCAAAGGUUCGCUCAGCUUGAACGGAAAUCAAGCAAAAGAGUGCAAACGCAGAAGCGAGCCUAACUGCGAGACUGACGAGUCGAGCAGUAACGAAAGUUGGAGUUAGUGAUCCGGUGGUAUGUGAGUGGAAAUGCCAUCGCUCAACGGAUAAAAGUUACCCUGGGGAUAACAGGCUGAUCUCCCCCAAGAGUCCACAUCGACGGGGAGGUUUGGCACCUCGAUGUCGGCUCAUCGCAUCCUGGGGCUGUAUUCGGUCCCAAGGGUUUGGCUGUUCGCCAAUUAAAGCGGUACGCGAGCUGGGUUCAGAGCGUCGUGAGACAGUUCGGUCCCUAUCUGUCGUGGGCGCAGGAUAUUUGAUGGGAGCUGUUCCUAGUACGAGAGGACCGGAGCGGACGUACCUCUGGCGCACCAGUUGUUCUGCCAAGGGCAUAGCUGGGCAACUAUGUACGGAUCGGAUAAACGCUGAAAGCAUCUAAGCGUGAAGCCGACCCAAAGAUAAGAUAUCCCAUUGUUUUAAACAAGUAAGACCCCUUGAAGACUACAAGGUUGAUAGGCACGAUGUGUAAGUGGAGUGAUUCAUUCAGCAAGCGUGUACUAAUAGGUCGAGGGCUUGACCG